GUCAGGCGUGGUGGCGCGUGCCUGUAGUCCCAGCUACUGGGGAGGCUGAGGCUGGCGGAUCUGUUGAGUACAGGAGUUCUGGGCUGUAGUGCGCUAUGCCGAUUGGGUGUCCGCACUAAGUUUGUCAUCAAUAUAGUGAUCUUUGGGAGCGGGGGACCACAAGGAGGGGUGAACCGGCCCAGGUUGGAAAUGGAGCAGGUCAAAACUCCUGUGUUGAUCAGUAGUGGGAUUGCACCUGUGAAUAGGCACUGCACUCCAGCCUGGGCAACAUAGUGAGACCCUGUCUCUU
ensembl:misc_RNA Metazoa_SRP Metazoan signal recognition particle RNA